CUGGAAUUGCUAGUAAUCACAGGUCAGCAUACUGUGGUGAAUACGUUCCCGGGCCUUGUACACACCGCCCGUCACACCAUGAGAGUUGAGAAUACCCGAAGCCCAUGUCAAAGUGGUCGAAGGUAGGCUUGAUGAUUGGGGUGAAGUCGUAACAAGGUAAC
rnacentral:rRNA from 1 species